GAUGAACGCUAGCUACAGGCUUAACACAUGCAAGUCGAGGGGCAGCAUUGGGGUAGCAAUACUUCAGAUGGCGACCGGCGCACGGGUGAGUAACACGUAUCCAACCUGCCGCUUACUCGGGGAUAGCCUUUCGAAAGAAAGAUUAAUACCCGAUGGUAUAAAGAGUUCGCGUGUUCUCUUUAUUAAAGAAUUUCGGUAAGCGAUGGGGAUGCGUUCCAUUAGAUUGUUGGCGGGGUAACGGCCCACCAAGUCUACGAUGGAUAGGGGUUCUGAGAGGAAGGUCCCCCACAUUGGAACUGAGACACGGUCCAAACUCCUACGGGAGGCAGCAGUGAGGAAUAUUGGUCAAUGGACGAGAGUCUGAACCAGCCAAGUAGCGUGAAGGAUGACUGCCCUAUGGGUUGUAAACUUCUUUUAUAAGGGAAUAAAGUGAGGGACGUGUCCCUUUUUGUAUGUACCUUAUGAAUAAGGAUCGGCUAACUCCGUGCCAGCAGCCGACGGUAAUGUCGAUAUCGUC
rnacentral:rRNA from 1 species